rnacentral:lncRNA from 1 species
UCUUAUUCUAUCUGUUCUUAAUGAGUUUUAGAUAAUUUUAGUUGUAUUUCUUUGUAAUUUUGUGUUGUACAAAGAUUAAUUUAACAUUUUCUCUGGAAGUAUUAAUUUAGAAAGAUAAUAUGCUUCAUUGGUGUUGUGUUUUGAAGUGUGAAAUGUGAUAAAGUCAAGAUAAAGUUCACUUUUAAACUGAACUAAAUAAGGUAUCUGAGAGACAACAAUGGUUAAAUGCAAUACAAUGUACAGGUUUUACUAGCGAAAUGAAAAUUUUCCUGUCCUGUCUGCUGUAAUCAUUUUAUAUCUGGAAAACCAGCCGACUUAAUCGAUAAUAACAAUCUCCAGAUUGGGUUCCUUCAAUAAAUAUGGGCUAUAAACACAAUGAAAUAAGUUCCCCAAAAUCUAAAAUGGAGUGCUAUCAAA